GUACUCAUUUGGGCAGCACAUAUACUAAAGUUAGAAUGAUACAGAGAGGAUGAGCAUGGCCUCUGUGCAAAAAUACCAAUUAAAUCUAUAAAAGAAAAUGAAGGGAU